AUUGAACGCUGGCGGCAGGCCUAACACAUGCAAGUCGAGCGGAUGAAGGGAGCUUGCUCCUGGAUUCAGCGGCGGACGGGUGAGUAAUGCCUAGGAAUCUGCCUGGUAGUGGGGGAUAACGUCCGGAAACGGGCGCUAAUACCGCAUACGUCCUGAGGGAGAAAGUGGGGGAUCUUCGGACCUCACGCUAUCAGAUGAGCCUAGGUCGGAUUAGCUAGUUGGUGGGGUAAAGGCCUACCAAGGCGACGAUCCGUAACUGGUCUGAGAGGAUGAUCAGUCACACUGGAACUGAGACACGGUCCAGACUCCUACGGGAGGCAGCAGUGGGGAAUAUUGGGCAAUGGGCGAAAGCCUGAUCCAGCCAUGCCGCGUGUGUGAAGAAGGUCUUCGGAUUGUAAAGCACCUUAAGUUGGGAGGAAGGGCAGUAAGUUAAUACCUUGCUGUUUUGACGUUACCAACAGAAUAAGCACCGGCUAACUUCGUG
rnacentral:rRNA from 1 species